rnacentral:rRNA from 1 species
GAUGAACGCUAGCUACAGGCUUAACACAUGCAAGUCGAGGGGAAACGACAUCGAAAGCUUGCUUUUGAUGGGCGUCGACCGGCGCACGGGUGAGUAACGCGUAUCAAACCUGCCCACCACUUGGGGAUAACCUUGCGAAAGUAAGACUAAUACCCAAUGAUAUCUCUAGAAGACAUCUGAAAGUGAUUAAAGAUUUAUCGGUGAUGGAUGGGGAUGCGUCUGAUUAGCUUGUUGGCGGGGUAACGGCCCACCAAGGCUACGAUCAGUAGGGGUUCUGAGAGGAAGGUCCACCACAUUGGAACUGGGACACGGUCCAAACUCCUACGGGAGGCAGCAGUGAGGAAUAUUGGUCAAUGGGCGAGAGCCUGAACCAGCCAAGUAGCGUGCAGGAUGACGGCCCUAUGGGUUGUAAACUGCUUUUAUAAGGGAAUAAAGUGAGCCUCGUGAGGCUUUUUGCAUGUACCUUAUGAAUAAGGACCGGCUAAUUCCGUGCCAGCAGCCGCAGUAA